UACGAACCGUACAAACGUUAUUCGGAAUCACUGGGCUUAAAGGGUGCGUAGGCGGCCAUGUAAGUGAGGUGUGAAAUCCCUCGGCUCAACCGAGGAACUGCGCUUCAUACUGCAUGGCUUGAGGGAGACAGGGGUAAGCGGAACUGAUGGUGGAGCGGUGGAAAUGCGUUGAUAUCAAUCAGGAACACCGGUGGCGAAAGCGGCUUACUGGGUCUCUUCGUGACGCUGAGGUACGAAAGCUAGGGAGCGAACGGG
rnacentral:rRNA from 1 species